UAGGGAAUCUUCCGCAAUGGACGCAAGUCUGACGGAGCAACGCCGCGUGAGUGAAGAAGGAUUUCGGUUCGUAAAACUCUGUUGUUAGAGAAGAACAGCGCAUAGAGUAACUGUUAUGCGUGUGACGGUAUCUAACCAGAAAGCCACGGCUAACUACGUGCCAGCAGCCGCGGUAAUACGCAGGUGGCAAGCGUUGUCCGGAUUUAUUGGGCGUAAAUCGAGCGCAGGCGGUCAAUUAAGUCUGGUGUGAAAGCCCCCGGCUCAACCGGGGAGGGUCAUUGGAAACUAGUUUGCUUGAGGGCAGAAGAGGGGAGUGGAGUUGCAUGUGUAGCGGUGAAAUGGGUAGAUAUAUGGAGGAACACAAGUGGCGAAGGCGACUAUCUGGUCUGUAACAGACGAUGAGGUGCGAAAGCGUGGGUAGCAAACAGA
rnacentral:rRNA from 1 species